rnacentral:rRNA from 1 species
GGGUAGUUUGACUGGGGCGGUCUCCUCCUAAAGAGUAACGGAGGAGCACGAAGGUUGGCUAAUCCUGGUCGGACAUCAGGAGGUUAGUGCAAUGGCAUAAGCCAGCUUGACUGCGAGCGUGACGGCGCGAGCAGGUGCGAAAGCAGGUCAUAGUGAUCCGGUGGUUCUGAAUGGAAGGGCCAUCGCUCAACGGAUAAAAGGUACUCCGGGGAUAACAGGCUGAUACCGCCCAAGAGUUCAUAUCGACGGCGGUGUUUGGCACCUCGAUGUCGGCUCAUCACAUCCUGGGGCUGAAGUAGGUCCCAAGGGUAUGGCUGUUCGCCAUUUAAAGUGGUACGCGAGCUGGGUUUAGAACGUCGUGAGACAGUUCGGUCCCUAUCUGCCGUGGGCGCUGGAGAACUGAGGGGGGCUGCUCCUAGUACGAGAGGACCGGAGUGGACGCAUCACUGGUGUUCGGGUUGUCAUGCCAAUGGCACUGCCCGGUAGCUAAAUGCGGAAGAGAUAAGUGCUGAAAGCAUCUAAGCACGAAACUUGCCCCGAGAUGAGUUCUCCCUGACUCCUUGAGAGUCCUGAAGGAACGUUGAAGACGACGACGUUGAUAGGCCGGGUGUGUAAGCGCAGCGAUGCGUUGAGCUAACCGGUACUAA